GAUCCUGGCUUAGGAUGAACGCUAGCGACAGGCUUAACACAUGCAAGUCGAGGGGCAGCAUAAAAGUAGCAAUACUUGGUGGCGACCGGCGCACGGGUGAGUAACGCGUAUGCAACCUACCUAUCAGAGGGGAAUAACCCGGCGAAAGUCGGACUAAUACCGCAUAAAACAGGGGCACCGCAUGGUGAUAUUUGUUAAAGAAAUUCGCUGGUAGAUGGGCAUGCGUUCCAUUAGGUAGUUGGUGAGGUAACGGCUCACCAAGCCGACGAUGGAUAGGGGAACUGAGAGGUUGGUCCCCCACACUGGUACUGAGACACGGACCAGACUCCUACGGGAGGCAGCAGUGAGGAAUAUUGGUCAAUGGGCGGGAGCCUGAACCAGCCAAGUCGCGUGAAGGAAGAAGGAUCUAUGGUUCGUAAACUUCUUUUGCAGGGGAAUAAAGUGCAGGACGUGUCCUGUUUUCGUAUCGUACCCUGAGAAUUAAGGAUCGGCUACUCGUGCCAGCAGCCGC
rnacentral:rRNA from 1 species